AGAGCCGCCUCCGGCUGCCUCACCCCCCACCCCGGCUCUGGCCCGUGGGCUUUCCCCUCUGUGGUCCUCUGGCUGUGGCCCUGUCACUGCUCCCCCGGCACAGGUCCACCCCCGCCGUGCUCAGUCCUCCGGGGCCCCCUCUCCCGGAUCUGCCGCCAGAGCUCAAGGCUGCAGCGGGACAAACUCUGUGGAGACAGGCCAGGGAGGAGAAAGGUAGGAGCUGCGGAAAUGCUCCUCGGCAGGUGUGUGCUCCCUCUACAGG